ensembl:lncRNA
GGGGCGCGUGCAGCGCUGCCGCCGACUGAUGUGAUCUCUGCUGUACCAUUCUUCACAGUAGCUGAGAUGGAGAGUGGAAGAUAUUCCUUCAUGUGCUUCAAAGUACUGUAGCAGUAUUAAUUGAUAGACUGAGAGCCUGAUCUAUCUGCGGGAUCACACGAGGCCUACACUAAAAUACUUCUACUGUAUGGAAAAAUAUUUAUCUGAGGAUUUCUGGCCUGACUUUUGGAUGAAGAAAGUGUGUUGAGGACCACUUAGUUUUUGAUUUAGUGUGUGAUCCUAGGACUUCCCAUAAACAUGCAAGCCACUCUUCCUUUGGUCUAAAAACUUUGAAUCCUCUAUGAGUCACUCUUACUUCCAAUACGUUUCCAGGCCAUCUGACCCCUCCAGGAUUCUGCAGGACUUGUGUCAUUGCAUUAUACACUGCUGAGAUGAGCAUAACAGACUAUUGCAUGCAGAGCCAAUGCUGUAUUUGGGUCACAACUGGAUGGUAAAAUUUCUAAAUGCAUUCUUUAACCAUCUAAGAAUAGACUGAGUAAUGGGAAUAUUACUCAGUAAAGUCUUAGCUUGAAUCUGAUGAAUUUAAUCUUCAGAACUGUCAAAAAUCUCCACCGAACCAAGAAAAUGCCAGGAUUUCUUUGCACUGUUUGUAACUUCUGGAGUUAUCUCACCAGACAGGGAUUUCUGCCUCCUGAGAUUUCAGUCACGACAACACCUUAAGGAAGUGAAAGGAAAUUUGUCCUUAGCUGUCCAAUUAAUCCUCACUACUUUCUCUGUGUUGCUUAAGUUUUGAGUAAAUGUGAAUGGUGUAAGUAAACAGUACAUCUGAUAAAUGUAAAUUUUAUUUUUUCUGUUUGCUGGUAGUUCUAUGCCUGUGUGAUCCAUGGAUAAAAACUCUUGAAAAAUAGUCAUAAAAUAAACGAUAGCACUGUAAUAAUAAAAAUUAUAAGCAUAGCCAACUAGUGAAUUAAGUAUCUGUGAUUUAUAAAAAUCACAGGGACACUGUUAAUUUCUUUUUCAACAAAACAUUCUGCUCCUCUUUCAUACAGGUCAGGGAAGACCACAGAUACUUAUGUUUAGCUUGUUUAUUCACUUACUGUCUUAAGGAUGCCCCAUGAGUUUUGAAUCAUUUGCUAAUUUCAACACAGAAACUACCUAAUAUCCAGGCUAUAAGUAAUCUCCCUGAAGCUACAGCUGUACUGUUCUUAACUACCCAGCUUGCUUUUGUUAAAGUCACCGUGUAAACACUUGUGCAAGUUUUAGUCAAAGUCCUGCACUGUAGAUGUACCUAAUAGUAUUUGAAGAGCAGUGUCUCAGAAAAUACAUACGUUCAUCUUCGAUUGGCAACAGAGUAUGCUGAUGUGAAAGGCAGAGCUGGGGCAGAAGGUAAAACACAAGGCAGAAUAACGUCUGUAUCAACAGACUUGGAAACAUAAAAAGUAUUAGACUUGUAUGAUGUUUACUAAGUAUUUUGAAAGCAUUUUGAAAGUUGUCUCCUACUAAAAUUCAAGUCAGCAGGAUAGAGAGAAAUUUAAAGUCUUCCCAGUUUUUGAGCAAAAAGAAUUGCUGAUAGCAAUUACUCCUUGCCAGAUGUGUGUUCCAGCAGUUUUGGGAUCCAGUGAGGCUGGAAACAGUUCAAGAAAGAGAACAGGCUGCUGAGUAAAGAAACACAUACUGGUGAGAAAGUCUUGUAACCAAAUUCUCCAGAGCACUCUGGAAAUAACACCUCACAGUAGAAUAAACUCAGUUUAUGAGUGAAAGGUCAUAACAAUGCUGCUGAUGCUAUAGGAAGCCUGAGUCCCAAGUGCCAUCAACAAAGAAUGUUAGGAUGAGAGUCCUACAUCUAAGGGAACUUAAGUGCUCUCUUGUAUGCGUCAGUGGAAAACCUGAGAUUUAGCCUCACUUGUGAAACUGUCAUCCUGAUUAAGCUCUUCUGGAGGAAUACUGGAUAUAUGAGCUGCAGUCUAUGGACAUAGCUACAACUGAAGCUACGAUGUAUUUGAGUCUGAUCCUGUUACUCAGUAUGAGAGAAAUGGAGAAAUAGAUGGUAUCUUCAUCUGGUUCAGUCUUCAGCUGAACUGCCAUGUGAUCCCACUGGCAGCACUGAGGAAGGGAAGCAGUCCUUGUAGAAAGAAGUCUAAAUCUUCUGCUGCUCAGCCUGCAUACUAUCCUUUGAGAUGUUAAAUCCCUCCUUCAAUCUAUGUGAUCAGAUUUCAAAGAGUAACAAAGCACUGGAGGGAUUUCAUACAGAGCUGUAAUUCGUAGUUUAAAUGAAAAUGAUAAAGGAAAGGUGAGUUUUGAUUCUUCUUGUAAUGUCACUGGAUAAUACUGUUUGUCAAGCUCCUGCAUUAUCAUUCUGUGCUGAAACAACAAAGCCCAUGGAUGUGGGAUGAGAUAGAGCGUAGUGUUAGAAAUAAUAUGAUACGCUAUUCUGCGUCCAAAUCAAUUCUAGCAUUCAUAGAAAAUGCUUGUGUAUCUGAUUAUUUUAUUACUGUUAUGGUUGUUAAAAUGCUGGUCUGAAAGCAAAUCAAGCUUGUCAGAUAGGACAAGCAGCUUGUAUUUUUAGAAAUGAAUGUUUUUCCUCAUAAGCAGCAUCUCAAAUCCUUUGCACAAAAAAUCACCUUCUGAUCGUGGGUCCUUGAGAAUGGGAUACAGCAUUCAAAUCAUUAAUGCACAAAGAUGUUUUCAGGCAAAAAUAGCAUAUAGUCUUUUUAAUUGAAAUCAGAAGGUCACUUGUGUCAGAUUUUAUGAAGAAGAUUAACACUGCUAUUCUCUAGCCUGUUUGAUGAGUCUUACUAUUUUCAUUCUAAGAUUUAUGCCUCAGGCAAACAAUUUAUAUUAUGAACAAUAGAAUAUUCUAAAUUAUUUCCUUAGAGAUGUAUGUUCUGCAUUCUCAGUUCAACGUUGUAACCCACCCUAUUCUACAGCAUGCCACUGCAUCUGAGUAAGCAUCAGUAUGAGCAAUGACUUGCCCAAAGCCAUAUUAAUAGAGGUGCGUAUGUCUUAGUUGGUCAGUCAACUGAUGCAAAGCAUAAGUCGUGUAUACAUAUGUAUAAUGAUUGAUUUAUUUUUGAAACUUGUAAAAAAUGCAUUUACCCUUUGCCUCUUUACCAAUUUAAUCAGAUGACCCCUUUAGGUGUCACCCAACCUGAAUCAUUCUGUCAUUCAACAUUGUUAAAAUUCAGUUACGGUUGGACAUUUAAGCAGUUGGAUUCAUCCAACCUGAAUUAUUUUGCCAUUAAUACUAAUUUCAAAUUUGAUUAGAACUGGCCAACAUGUUCAAAUAUUCUAAGACAUGGAGUAAUGGAGGCACAAACUGGCGGUAACUGUGGAAGUUUUGCUUUCUCACAGAAUCAGGCUACUGUAGCAUUCUAAGCAAUGGGCUCUUGUACUGGCACUUCUGUGUUGCUAACUCAUGCUCUGCUUCUCAUAUUACCAAGGUUUACUUUCAGCAUCUGUUCAAUAAAUAUUCUCCUGACAAUGCUGAAAGGAAAUGUAAUAGGACUGUAAUGACCUAUUAGAUUUUAGCAUGAUGUAAACUAAGCCAAUUCUCAUUACAAUAAUGUGUAUUUGUUUUAAGACUGUGGUCUUGUUUAUUUUUACAGAAGAAUAGGACAUCCAUAGGAAUGGUUUUUUAUUAAUGACUUCUCCUGUGCUUGUUAUUAGUCACCAGCUGACACCUCUUCCAGUCAGUCUUUAUUCCUAGAAUUGCAUCAUGCAACAAAUACAUCUUGACAUUCUUUGCUGUUGAUGCAAGAACUGAACAAGUCUGAAUUGUUAUUCAAGUUCCUGUUUUAACUUACUGUCAUCAUCCCGUGGUAAAUCCUUUCUGUUUAAUUGUAUCAAAACUAUAUUUUGUAUGUUUAUUCCUUUUGGUGAUAACUUGGUUGUCAUAACCAUGGUUGUAAAAAAAAAAAAAAAAGAGAAAAGAUGAACUAUUGAGAACAAGGGAAAGAUAGAUCUUUUACUAGAGAAAUACAGCUAAGUGUCCUUCUUCAAGUAUUAAUUGAGUUCUAUCAGUAGAUCUUUGGUAAUUCCUUUUUUCCUUUACACUGCCUUCAAGAUCCUUUUUGGUCACAGAAGAAUGCUUGUUUUCUUAAUGAUUGUGUUAUUAACUAUUUGUUGAACGCUGAAAUUUGGCCUUGUUUAUUUUGUUUGUUGAUUCAUUGUUUGCCUACCAACACAGCAAACUCAUUUGUGCAUUGAUCUAUUUCUGUUUAUUUAGUGUAUCACUGAUACUUCUUUAAUUAACAUCUGCAUUCUUUUGUGGCUUAGAAUAA